GAUGAACGCUGGCGGCGUGCCUAAUACAUGCAAGUAGAACGCUGAAGGAGGAGCUUGCUCUUCUGGAUGAGUUGCGAACGGGUGAGUAACGCGUAGGUAACCUGCCUGGUAGCGGGGGAUAACUAUUGGAAACGAUAGCUAAUACCGCAUGACAACAGUUAUUGCAUGAUAACUGAUUAAAAGGGGCAACUGCUCCACUACCAGAUGGACCUGCGUUGUAUUAGCUAGUUGGUGAGGUAACGGCUCACCAAGGCGACGAUACAUAGCCGACCUGAGAGGGGGAUCGGCCACACUGGGACUGAGACACGGCCCAGACUCCUACGGGAGGCAGCAGUAGGGAAUCUUCGGCAAUGGACGGAAGUCUGACCGAGCAACGCCGCGUGAGUGAAGAAGGUUUUCGGAUCGUAAAGCUCUGUUGUAAGAGAAGAACGAGUGUGGGAGUGGAAAGUUCACACUGUGACGGUAUCUUACCAGAAAGGGACGGCUAACUACGUG
rnacentral:rRNA from 1 species